CAGGACGCUGCACACAGGAUGCCUUUUUUUUUGUUGUUUUUUUGGUAUUCUCACUGCAGUAGUGACAACGAGGUGUUUUUGAUUGUGUAUUUGAUUCUCUAGUACCAGUACCAUGCAUACUACCAUGACAGUGUCACUGCUGCGCUGAGAACAAACUAAAAAUAAUACCUGCUCUGUGGUGGUCCUGGUUGGGGUCCUGAUCAUUGAUGAACAAGGUGAAAGGAUUAACAAGUUAUGUAGAGAAACAGAUCAACUACAAUCUGCAAUUGCAGAACCACAAAGUGCACGUUUGGAAAUUAAAUGGAAAAUGAGCUUACAUACUAGCUGUAGCUGUACAUAAUUAAGUGGCCAGUGAGUGUAUACAUAAUAUCAGGUACAGCGGUGUACUGCCAAUUUAAUUUGUAAUUCUUGGUUAUCACCAUCGAAACUGUCUCUUUAGGUGAUUGUCAUUCCACUCAUUUUGUCUGAACUGUAAGUUCUGUAUAUCUUGUUGUAACAAUUAAAGCAAUUGCUUUAGCAAAGCAAAACACUUUCUGGUGUAAUCCGUUCAUGUCCACAUAUUGGUGAGCACAGGUGAGCUUUAAGAAUUGUUACAUUUACAAGACAUGAUACAGUACAUAGUGGCUUAUUGUAUGACACUAUUUUCUUAGAACUGUGGCAGACAUUUGAUUGCUCAGCUGUGAUCACCUGUGUUUUACUGCCUCUUCUAUUUCUUUUCACGUUUAGAUACAUUUUACUGUAGAGCUGGACACUAACUGUGUUCUUUAAGUUUAAUGACACGACUUAAUGUUCCUUAGUACUGAUUUGUCAUACUGUCUACUUUUGGGAUUAUUCUCAUCUUUUGUCUGGUGACUGUUUCUUAGUAAUCUUGCUUACUUUUUCUUCGUUUUUGAUGCAGCCAUGAAGAAUCCACCUUUACAAGCUGAAAGUGACAAAGAAUUUGACCAGAAACCCCCAUGUCUGUUAAGCCAUGAAGAAUCCACCUUUACAAGCUGAAAGUGACAAAGAAUUUGACCAGAAACCCCCAUGUCUGUUAAGCCAUGAAGAAUCCACCUUUACAAGCUGAAAGUGACAAAGAAUUUGACCAGAAACCCCCAUGUCUGUUAAGCCAUGAAGAAUCCACCUUUACAAGCUGAAAGUGACAAAGAAUUUGACCAGAAACCCCCAUGUCUGUUAAGCCAUGAAGAAUCCACCUUUACAAGCUGAAAGUGACAAAGAAUUUGACCAGAAACCCCCAUGUCUGUUAAGCCAUGAAGAAUCCACCUUUACAAGCUGAAAGUGACAAAGAAUUUGACCAGAAACCCCCAUGUCUGUUAAGCCAUGAAGAAUCCACCUUUACAAGCUGAAAGUGACAAAGAAUUUGACCAGAAACCCCCAUGUCUGUUAAGCCAUGAAGAAUCCACCUUUACAAGCUGAAAGUGACAAAGAAUUUGACCAGAAACCCCCAUGUCUGUUAAGGUAUGAGUAUGUUUAGCACAGUGGACUAGGCUUCAGAUGUUCGUUCUCUUGCUGUCUCUCUCCCCCACAUAUACGUAUGCACUCACUGGUCAUUUUUAAGGUAUUCCUAACUUAAAGACUGCAGUCUAUCUGUAUCUCUGCAUACCUUUUAUCCCCUUUCAUCCAGUUCCUCAGUGAUCAGAACCCUGCCAGGACCUCCACAGAGCAGCUAUUAUUUGGGUGGUGUAUUGGACACAGAAGUGAUGCUGGAGUUUUUAAACUCUGUUGCCACUCAGUGUCCACUCUAUUAGACACUCCUACCUUGUUGGUCCACCUUGUAAAUGUAAAGUCAGAGACGAUAGAUCAGUUUGUGUUGGUCAUCCUCUCUAGUCCUUCAUCAGUGGUCACAGGACGCUGCACACAGGAUGCCUUUUGGUAUUCUCACUGCAGCAGUGACAACGAGGUGUUUUUGAUUGUGUAUUUGAUUCUCUAGUACCAGUACCAUGCAUACUACCAUGACAGUGUCACUGCUGCGCUGAGAACAAACUAAAAAUAAUACCUGCUCUGUGGUGGUCCUGGUUGGGGUCCUGAUCAUUGAUGAACAAGGUGAAAGGAUUAACAAGUUAUGUAGAGAAACAGAUCAACUACAAUCUGCAAUUGCAGAACCACAAAGUGCACGUUUGGAAAUUAAAUGGAAAAUGAGCUUACAUACUAGCUGUAGCUGUACAUAAUUAAGUGGCCAGUGAGUGUAUACAUAAUAUCAGGUACAGCGGUGUACUGCCAAUUUAAUUUGUAAUUCUUGGUUAUCACCAUCGUAACUGUCUCUUUAGGUGAUUGUCAUUCCACUCAUUUUGUCUGAACUGUAAGUUCUGUAUAUCUUGUUCUAACAAUUAAAGCAAUUGCUUUAGCAAAGCAAAACACUUUCUGGUGUAAUCCGUUCAUGUCCACAUAUUGGUGAGCACAGGUGAGCUUUAAGAAUUGUUACAUUUACAAGACAUGAUACAGUACAUAGUGGCUUAUUGUAUGACACUAUUUUCUUAGAACUGUGGCAGACAUUUGAUUGCUCAGCUGUGAUCACCUGUGUUUUACUGCCUCUUCUAUUUCUUUUCACGUUUAGAUACAUUUUACUGUAGAGCUGGACACUAACUGUGUUCUUUAAGUUUAAUGACACGACUUAAUGUUCCUUAGUACUGAUUUCCAAAGAAUAUUUUAAGUUAACUUCAGAAAACUUUGUUUAGUGAGCGAGAAUGUAAUAGUUACAUAACCUAACAUAACCUAUUUUUUUUGUUCGGUAAACAAAGAAAUAAAAGUUAGUCCAACUCAGAGACCUUUGCUCAAGACUAGUUAUACUUAUGAGUACCAUAAAUGUUCUCAUGAUAGCUCAACUAAAUAUUUCUUUUGGUAUUUACAAAAAAAAUGUCUGUCAGUAUAACUAGUAAUUUAGAAAAGUUGAGUGUACAAGGAAAAAUUGGGGGAAAUUCUGCGCAAAGUGUUGCCCA